rnacentral:rRNA from 1 species
CAGCAGCCACGGUAAGACAGAAGAUGCAAGCGUUAUCCGGAAUUAUUGGGCGUAAAGGGCUCGCAGGCGGUUUCUUAAGUCUGAUGUGAAAGCCCCCGGCUCAACCGGGGAGGGUCAUUGGAAACUGGGAAACUUGAGUGCAGAAGAGGAGAGUGGAAUUCCACGUGUAGCGGUGAAAUGCGUAGAGAUGUGGAGGAACACCAGUGGCGAAGGCGACUCUCUGGUCUGUAACUGACGCUGAGGAGCGAGAGCGUGGGGAGCGAACAGGAUUAGAUACCCCUGUAGUCCCUGUCUCUUAUAC